GGGCCCCUGUGGGCAUCUUACCGGACAGUGCUGGAUUUCCCGGCUCGACUCUAACACUGUCUGGUAACGAUGUUCAAAGGUGACCC
ensembl:miRNA